rnacentral:lncRNA from 1 species
GCGAGUGGUUUAGUUGACCAAGGCGUAUGGUGGGAGCACAUCUCUGGAGCGUAUGAUCUGCCAGCUCAAUUAAUGAGCUCAGAUCUAACGCUCCUUGUUUUUUUUUUUUUUUCUAAUUUUAUUUUCUUUAAUUCCAAUUAUUUUCAAAAAUCAAUAUCUCUCUCAUUUUUAAUCCAAAAAUUAUGGGACCAAUUGCAUUAGUCUCCAAAUAAAUUCUAGUUUCUAUUUCUGAUUUUUAAUAUUUUUU